GGUAGACAGAAGUCCAGACUUGAGGCCACAGAACCCUGGAGAGGGGAGGCAUCCCUCAAGCAGGAUGGGGACCUGAGGCUGGGUUUCUUGGUGUCCUCCCAGCUUCCACCAUCCCACAGAAGGUUCGGUGACCUCUGGCGACCAUUGGUGACUCGGAUGACCCCUAGGGCUAUGCAGGAUGCUGGAGUUCACCCCACUGGGCCUCCAUCCCUUUGGGUCCCACACAGGGCCUGGCAUACACACAGGCCACAGGCGUCAGCUUGUCCUGGCCCAUGUCCCCAGUUCCUGCCAGGAGCCUUGAGGCCCCACGAAGGUCAGACCCUGGCCCUUUGCCCAGCUCUGGGUCAGAGCGGAGCAUGCAGGUCCCUGCCUCCUGCAGAGAGAACUCCCUCCAUGGGGCAGAAGCCAGAGCAGCGAACCCUGGAGUGGAAGGCAGGGCGGUGAGCUGGGAACCCUGACCCAGCUGACCUUCGCGGAUUUAGAAAGGGUCUGAAGAGCAGCCAUGAGACUGAAUCCCAGACAGGAAGGAAGUGCGUCUCGGAAACCGAGCCCUCCGGCUGGAGUGCUGCCCAUACCCAGCACCCUUGGGCCUCCCCGGUGAGGGGCCUCGCGCCUCUCGUGACCCUCGGGAGGCUGUAACCCUUCUAACCUCAAGACAGAAGCGUGAACGCCUGCGGCGGCUGUGGUUUAACAGUUAGUGCCAGAGAGAAGUCGCCCACGCGAGCACUGCUGCGACUCACUGUCUGCACGUGCACCACGAGCAUGGGGACCGCAGUCCCUCUGCCACCGCCAGCUCCUCGGCACCCAGCCAAAGCCACCCAGCGCCUGCCACGCUAGGUCAGGCCCCUGCCACCAGCUGUGAGCUCCCCAAGGGCCAACGUGGCUCUGCUCAUUCCUGCGGCCCAGUGACCUGCGAGGGCCCAGCAGCUGGAGGCGGGAAGGUACACGGGAAUGCACUCAUUUUCCUGCAACCCUGACCUGACCACCCAACGUCCUUCACCUGAAAACUGAGCCCACUUCCUGUCCAGGAGGUGCCCCCACCCCUGGCUCCCAUAGCGGGUAGGUGCUGUCCACUGGGGCUCCCCAGGCCCUUGAACUUCUGAUCACACUGCCCUGUCUCCCCUGUCAGUCUAACAAGAUUCUUAAAGCCAAAGUCGCGUCUUUAUGUCCCAUCAUGCCAGUGCGUAGUCAAGGUGGGGGUGC